ACGAAGGGUGCAAGCGUUAAUCGGAAUUACUGGGCGUAAAGCGUGCGUAGGCGGUGAGUUAAGUCUGUUGUGAGAUCCCCGGGCUCAACCUGGGAAUGGCAAUGGAUACUGGCUCGCUAGAGUGUGAUAGAGGAUGGUGGAAUUCCCGGUGUAGCAGUGAAAUGCGUAGAGAUCGGGAGGAACAUCCGUGGCGAAGGCGGCCACCUGGGCCAACACUGACACUGAGGCACGAAAGCGUGGGGAGCAAACAGGA
rnacentral:rRNA from 1 species